rnacentral:rRNA from 1 species
GAUGAACGCUGGCUACAGGCUUAACACAUGCAAGUCGAGGGGAAACGACGGGGAAGCUUGCUUCCCCGGGCGUCGACCGGCGCACGGGUGAGUAGCGCGUAUCCAACCUGCCUCUGACUGAGGGAUAACCCGUCGAAAGUCGGCCUAAUACCUCAUGGUAUCGUCUGCGGGCAUCCAACGACGAUUAAAGAUUUCAUCGGUCAGGGAUGGGGAUGCGUCUGAUUAGCUUGUUGGCGGGGUAACGGCCCACCAAGGCUACGAUCAGUAGGGGUUCUGAGAGGAAGGUCCCCCACAUUGGAACUGAGACACGGUCCAAACUCCUACGGGAGGCAGCAGUGAGGAAUAUUGGUCAAUGGGCGAGAGCCUGAACCAGCCAAGUAGCGUGCAGGAAGACGGCCCUAUGGGUGGUAAACUGCUUUUAUGCGGGGAUAAAGUGAGGGACGUGUCCCUCAUUGCAGGUACCGCAUGAAUAAGGACCGGCUAAUUCCGUG